GACAGUGUCAGGCGGGGAGUUUGACUGGGGCGGUACAUCUGUUAAAUAAUAACGCAGGUGUCCUAAGGUUAGCUCAGUGAGGACAGAAACCUCACGUAGAGUAAAAGGGCAAAAGCUAACUUGAUCUAUGACCUUCAGUACUGGUAUAGACCGCGAAAGCGUGGCCUAUCGAUCCUUUUGUUGUUCUUAAACGGUUGACAGUUUCAAGCAAGAGGUGUCAGAAAAGUUACCACAGGGAUAACUGGUAGCGCUAAGGCUUAAUGUGGUUGUCCUUGUGGCAAUCAAUAAAACAGCAUUAAGCGGUGCAGCGUUACAAACUCUAGUGUUUAGUAGUGUCAAUGUAGUACAUGUGGGCAACUAUAUGUGUUACUUUCGGCCUAGCGUACAAGUCCCAUUGACUUGGGCCUAUUCUUAAUUGAGAUGUCUACGGGUUUGGGGCAACUUGGAUCCGUGGAUGAGCCAUAGAGGGUGAAAGUCCCUUAAUGCGCAGGUAUUGACACUACGAACUGGAGCGGUGGCGUUUGGUAAAACAAGCGUUGCGAUUUGUUAGAGUCGGGUUGCUUGAGAGUGCAACCUAAAGAGCGAGGUAAACUGCUCGUAAGGCUAUUAUUAAUACGGCUACGACACCGAUAGCAAACAAGUACCGUGAGGGAAAGUUGCAAAGUACUUUGAAGAGAGAGUUAAACAGGGCGUGAAACCGCUAGCUGGUAAAACCCGUCUUGAAACACGGACCAAGGAGUGUAGGAGGGUUGUGUUGGUAGCGUUGAAGGCUAUGAGGGAGUGAUCCUGGCUGGAGCUGCCAAUAGUACAGAUCUUGGUGGUAGUAGCAAAUACUCAAGUGAGACCCUUGAGGGCCAAUGUGGAGAAGGGUUCCAUGCUAACAGCAAUUGGACAUGGGUCAGUCGGUGAAUUAGGUUAAUAUUCCUAAACCAAGAUGGGGAGAUGGCACGGACCACGGGAAUCCGACUGUCUAAUUAAAACAAAGCAUUGCGAUGGCCUAAGAUUGUGGUGUUGACGCAAUGUGAUUUCUGCCCAGUGCUAUGAAUGUCACAGUGAAGAAAUUCAUCUAAGCGCUAGUAAACGGCGGGAGUAACUAUGACUCUCUUGUGGUAGCCAAAUGCCUCGUCAUCUAAUUAGUGACGCGCAUGAAUGGAUUAACGAGAUUCCCACUGUCCCUAUCUACUACCUAGCGAAACCACAGCCAAGGGAACGGGCUUGGCAAAAUCAGCGGGGAAAGAAGACCCUGUUGAGCUUGACUCUAGUCUGGCUUUACGCGGAGUAUAUGUGAUGGUAGCAAUAUUGUCAUAUAUGCGUUGCGAGUGGAGCCACGAAGUCGUUUCGUAGAAUACGAGGCGCAAAUUCAGCUGGGGUACCGUAAAAAGUGCUCUAGCGUAUUUUUGCUUGUCUCGCUACUGUAAGCGUACACUGCAACCAAUUAGACGGCCAAUUGUGGAUACAGUUUUGCAAGUCUUACAGGGAAACUUGUUGCUUGUCAAACGUAAAGAUUUGUGUAUUUACUGUAGGUAGCUUGAAUAGAUUCUUGUAGUCUAUUUGAGUGUAUGACAUUUUUGUAAAUGCGUGAACUACAAUUGGGUACUGAUUGGCAAAAUGAAAAUCGAAUCGCAAGAUUCGUUUAAUCAUAGAAAGCGGUUAGCAUUGUAUUUGGGUACAAUUGUACGUUGCUAGUAUUCAAGCUUGAUAUUUUUGAAUUCAGGCACGUAUAUUAUCAAUAGGCUUGCUUGUUGAUAUAUGCGCUGUUUCCUGUCUAAUCGGAUAUUAACUUUGCUGGCGAUUUGAUGCAAUUGCUUCGAUAGCACUGAAUGCAAUAGUUAAUUUGCAAGUAUUGGCAGUGAGUAGGUCGGCUUUCCACACGCGUUGAAUUAUCGUUCGCAAAAUAAAGCGAUAAGUUAUGAUUCAACGCCUAAGAGAAUGGCGAAAGCUAUUUCUGAAUCAAAGGCAGUGUAAUCAAAGUACAAAAUUUAUAUAUUUUGCGUGACAACUUUUUGUUUGUGUGUGAGUUAUUGCUGAUUACACAAAUCAUGCAUUGUUAAAAACUGUGUUAUUACGCACUUUACCAUGUGUAAUAACCACACUAAAAUGCAUGAAAUCGAAAAUAAACACGCAUAUAAAUACACAUAUUUUCACGCAUAGAAAAAAAGUAUAUAAAGAUCACUGCAUGACUCGAAAGGUGUUAUUUGUGCGGUUAUUUCUAUAGCUGUGCAAGUAACAUUGGCGGUAACGCAAACAAGGCUCUGAGGAUCGAGUUGGUCGGGCUGUAUGCGAGAUACUUUCAUGAGUUUGUAUCUAUGCUGGACCUUUGUUUGAAGUGUGUUGAAAUAUAUACGUUUUGAAUAUUGGAUCGGCAUGGAUCGCUCGUUUGUUGAUUGCUACAGCUACGCUGGUAGUUUUGUUUAGGUAUGGGCAACUAUAUUUAGGCUGGCUAUCAAUAAAAAGCGUCAUCGGCUAACAACUAACGAUCGAAUCAGAACUCAAGCUCUCGCACAAAUGUGAAUCAGUUUCAUCUGGUAAAGCGAAUGAUUAGAGGCCUUGGGAGCGAAACGCUCUCAACCUAUUCUCAAACUUUAAAUGGGUGAGAUGUACGACGUACUUAACUGACGCCGUAUAUUUUUACAGAAUGUAUUGAGAGCUUAGUGGGCCAUUUUUGGUAAGCAGAACUGGCGAUGCGGGAUGAACCGAAAGUGAAGUUAAGGUUGCCGAUAAUGGUGUUUACAAUUAGACACUAGCUACACUCAUGAGAUCCCAUGAAAGGUGUAAGUUGCUAAAGACAGCAAGGACGUGGCCAUGGAAGUCGGAAACAUCUAAGGAGUGUGUAACAACUCACUUGCCGAAGCAACUUGCCCUGAAAAUGGAAGCAGCUCGAGUGUUGAACCUAUACUUCACUCUAGUUAAGUAUCGAGUCGAUCGGUCUUGAUUAGGCCAGACAUCGAAGUGAAAUAUGCUUCGAAUAUAAACAAAAAUGACGGCACAGUGAAAUCAAAUGAUAUGUGAUCUGAGGUCUAUAAAAAUGGCCUACAGCGCAACAUAUGCCCACUCGUGUAAUUAUACGCGCAAGUGUUAGUUGAGUGGAGCAAAGAGAUACUUGACUGGUAUUCUCUCACUUGGCCGUACCCAUAUCCGCAGCAGGUCUCCAAGGUUAACAGCCUCUGGUCACUUAGGAUAAUGUAGGUAAGGGAAGUCGGCAAAACGGAUCCGUAACUUCGGGAUAAGGAUUGUGAAGAGACAUGAGAGGUGUAGCAUAGGUGGGAGAUACUUCAUCGCAAGGUGUUGUAUCGCAAGUGAAAUACCACUACUUUCAUUGUUUCUUUACUGA
rnacentral:rRNA from 1 species